CUAGAGAUAGAUUGGUGGCCUUCCGGGAACGUACAGACACAGGUGCUGCAUGGCUGUCGUCAGCUCGUGUCGUGAGAUGUUGGGUUAAGUCCCAUAACGAGCGCAACCCUUAUCGUUAGUUGCCAUCUGGUAAAGCAGGGGACUCUAGCGAAACUGCCACCGUAAGGUGAGAGGAAGGUGGGGAUGACGUCAAGUCAGCAUGGCCUCUAUGUCCAGGGCUACACACACGCUACAAUGGCCGGUACAGUGGGUUGCCAAACCGCGAGGUGGAGCUAAUCCUCAAAGCCGGUCUCAGUUCGGAUUGCAGGCUGCAAUUCGCCUGCAUGAAGUCGGAAUCGCUAGUAAUCGCAGGUCAGCAUACUGCGGUGAAUACGUUCCCGGGCCUU
rnacentral:rRNA from 1 species